rnacentral:rRNA from 1 species
CGGACGGGUGAGUAACACGUGAGCAACCUGCCUUUCAGAGGGGGAUAACGUUUGGAAACGAACGCUAAUACCGCAUAAAAUAUCGGAGUCGCAUGGCACUGAUAUCAAAGGAGCAAUCCGCUGAAAGAUGGGCUCGCGUCCGAUUAGGCAGUUGGCGUGGUAACGGCCCACCAAACCGACAAUCGGUAGCCGGACUGAGAGGUUGAACGGCCACAUUGGGACUGAGACACGGCCCAGACUCCUACGGGAGGCAGCAG